rnacentral:ncRNA from 1 species
GGCCGUUUCGUUCCGUAUGGCGGCCUAUUUUGGGGGAGGAGGCGCGAAACCGCCCCCAGGAGAACCGCUUUCGCGGGAUGGUUACGGCAUGGAUAGCCGUGACAAGU